rnacentral:rRNA from 1 species
AUUGAACGCUGGCGGCACCCCUAACACAUGUGAGUCUGUUCGCUUAAGUGAGCCAGCUGCUGUAGUUAGCCGCCUACGGGAGAGCAAUGCCUAGAAAACUUCCUGGUAGGGUGCGAUAACGCCGCUAACCGGGCCCUAAUGCCUCAUACGCUCUGGCUUCCAACGGGUGGAACCUUGGCCCCUCACGCCAUCAGAGGAGCCUAGGUCGGAUUAGCUAGUUGGUGUGGUAAAGGCCUACCAAGGCGAUGAUCUGUAACUGGUCUGAGAGGAUGAUCAGUCACAAUGGAACUGAGACACGGUCCAGACUCCUACGGGAGGCAGCAGUGGGGAAUAUUGGACCAUGGGCGCAAGCCUGAUCCAGCCAUGCCGCGUGCAUGAAGAAGGUCUUCGGAUUGUAAAGCACUUUAAGUUGGGACGAAGGGCAGUAAGCUAAUAUCUCGCUGUUUUGACGUUACCCAAAGAAUAAGCACCGGAUAACUUGGUG